rnacentral:rRNA from 1 species
UACGGGGGGGGCAAGCGUUGUUCGGAAUUACUGGGCGUAAAGGGUUAGUAGGUGGCCAACUAAGUCGGACGUGAAAUCCCUCGGCUUAACCGGGGAACGGCGUCCGAUACUGGAUGGCUUGAGUUUGGGAGAGGGAUGCGGAAUUCCAGGUGUAGCGGUGAAAUGCGUAGAUAUCUGGAGGAACACCGGUGGCGAAGGCGGCAUCCUGGACCAAAACUGACGCUGAAUAGCGAAAGCCAGGGGAGCAAACGGG